UUGGUUAUUUUGAUGAUUGGAAUAAAAAUAUCAUUAAAGCUUUUCUGUGACUUGCAUAUUACUUUAGCCAGUGUCCGGACUGUAGCAAUCGUAAUACUCUGAAGUAAUGGAUGUAUUCAGAAAAACUAUUGAGAUCACAUCCAACAGGAGUUUUUGUAGUGAUCCACAGAGUAAUCCUCACAGUUUCAACUAUCUUUCAAUGUGUCCACUUUUCUGAGGAAACACAAGUGUUCAGACCACAACCAGACCGCUUACAUAAGACAAAUACUCCAUGUGACAGUCUGAUGUAUUGAUUUGUGUGUCCACAGUGUGGCUGUGUGGCUGCAGUAGGGCAGCUGACUGAAGAACAAGUGGCUCAGGUUAUGAGGCUGCAGAGAUCAGCAGAGCCUACAGGAGGACUCAACAUGAGAAGCUGUUGGAGUUCAUAAUAAAGGACCAUGGAGCAGAUGAUCACUUGCUGGCUGUUGUAUCUCGUAAAGUAUCGUCCAAAAGGUUAA